rnacentral:rRNA from 1 species
AUUGAACGCUGGCGGAAUGCUUUACUCAUGCAAGUCGAACGGCAGCACGGACUUCGGUCUGGUGGCGAGUGGCGAACGGGUGAGUAAUGUAUCGGAACGUGCCCAGUCGUGGGGGAUAACGUAGUGAAAAUUACGCUAAUACCGCAUACGAUCUAUGGAUGAAAGCGGGGGAUCGCAAGACCCCGCGCGAUUGGAGCGCCAGAUAUAAGAUUAGGUAGUUGGGGGGGUAAAGGACCACCAAGCCAACGAUCUGUAGCUGGUCUGAGAGGACGACCAGCCACACUGGAACUGAGACACGGUCCAGACUCCUACGGGAGGCAGCAGUGGGGAAUUUUGGACAAUGGGCGAAAGCCUGAUCCAGCCAUUCCGCGUGCAGGAUGAAGGCCCUCGGGUUGAAACUGCCUUUGUACAGAACGAAAAGGUUUCUACUAAUACUAGGAGCUCAUGACGGUACUGUAAGAAUAAGCACCGGCUAACUACGUGCCAGCCGCCGCGGUAA